GACGAACGCUGGCGGCGUGCUUAACACAUGCAAGUCGAACGGUAAGGCCCUUCAGGGUACACGAGUGGCGAACGGGUGAGUAACACGUGGGUGAUCUGCCCUGCACUUCGGGAUAAGCCUGGGAAACUGGGUCUAAUACCGGAUAGGACCACUGCCUGCAUGGGUGGUGGUGGAAAGCUUUUGCGGUGUGGGAUGGGCCCGCGGCCUAUCAGCUUGUUGGUGGGGUGAUGGCCUACCAAGGCGACGACGGGUAGCCGGCCUGAGAGGGUGACCGGCCACACUGGGACUGAGGUACGGCCCAGACUCCUACGGGAGGCAGCAGUGGGGAAUAUUGCACAAUGGGCGCAAGCCUGAUGCAGCGACGCCGCGUGAGGGAUGACGGCCUUCGGGUUGUAAACCUCUCUCAGCACCGACGAAGCGCAAGUGACGGUAGGUGCAGAAGAAGGACCGGCCAACUACGUGCCAGCCGCCGCGGUAA
rnacentral:rRNA from 1 species